ACAUGUACAUUAUGUCUACAUCUUCAUGUUGGUCUACAUCUUCAUCUGAAGAUGUAGACCAACAUGAAAAUGUAGACCAACAUGAAGAUGUAGA
rnacentral:pre_miRNA from 1 species